UUCCACACCUUGUAUGGAAAAAUUCAUCUUCGAUGGCAGCUGUUUCGAUAGGUCUGCUUUGACACAUACCUUUGGUACUUCAAAGUUUGUGCACGCAAUCGUUUAUGGAUGUAGUUUGUCUGGUAUUCCAGCAGCACUCGCUAUGAAACUCAGUCCUUCCCAAGAGUACAUAUUCAUCGGAACCUUCGUCAAGUGUACCCAUAGGAGAGUUAACUUCGCUUGUGAUUCAUCUUUGACCGGAGACCAUUUAGAUACCACUAUCGGAAUUCCUGCUAUGUUCCACAUACCGUGCCUUACAAUCUUCUCCCUAACAGCUUCAUUUGGAAUUCGAAUUCUCAUAGUGACUUCAUCCA
rnacentral:lncRNA from 1 species